rnacentral:rRNA from 1 species
UACAGAGGGUGCGAGCGUUAAUCGGAAUUACUGGGCGUAAAGCGUGCGCAGGCGGUGCGCCAAGCUCGAUGUGAAAGCCCCGGGCUUAACCUGGGAAUUGCAUUGAGGACUGGCGUGCUCGAGUGCGGCAGAGGGGGGUGGAAUUCCACGUGUAGCAGUGAAAUGCGUAGAGAUGUGGAGGAACACCGAUGGCGAAGGCAGCCCCCUGGGCCGACACUGACGCUCAUGCACGAAAGCGUGGGGAGCAAACAGG